rnacentral:rRNA from 1 species
CCUACGGGGGGCUGCAGUGGGGAAUAUUGGACAAUGGGGGGAACCCUGAUCCAGCCAUGCCGCGUGUGUGAAGAAGGCCCUCGGGUUGUAAAGCACUUUCAGUGAGGAAGAACGCCUGUUGGUUAAUACCCAUCAGGAAAGACAUCACUCACAGAAGAAGCACCGGCUAACUCCGUGCCAGCAGCCGCGGUAAUACGGAGGGUGCGAGCGUUAAUCGGAAUUACUGGGCGUAAAGCGCGCGUAGGUGGCUUGAUAAGCCGGUUGUGAAAGCCCCGGGCUCAACCUGGGAACGGCAUCCGGAACUGUCAAGCUAGAGUGCAGGAGAGGAAGGUAGAAUUCCCGGUGUAGCGGUGAAAUGCGUAGAGAUCGGGAGGAAUACCAGUGGCGAAGGCGGCCUUCUGGACUGACACUGACACUGAGGUGCGAAAGCGUGGGUAGCAAACAGGACUAGAUACCCUAGUAGUC